rnacentral:misc_RNA from 1 species
GGAAUGAAUUGUUGCGAUACAUAUAAUAAAAAUACUUUUCGCUUAUCUAUCAAAAAAUGCAGAUUGUCAAAUUUAAAACUUUACAACGAAAGUGUAGCCGAUUUCAACGAAAGUGUUCCUUGCUCUUUCCUUAAGCAAGUUUUAAAUUAAAUUCUAAUGAUACGAAUGACAGUUCGAAAUUCAAAGUGUUCUUUUUCAAAAUUUAGUACAGAUUGUAUAUCAAUUGUAGAUAUAUCGAAAUUUUCGGCCGCAAACGAGCAUUUGACAAAAUGAGGGCGACCAGUUGCAGACCAAUUCCAUUGAUCAACUUUCGGAUUGUGAGAUGUUUCUAUCGGCCACGACGAUUGAACAAGUAUUACGAUAUUUACAGAAUAGCUGCCCUUGCGCGGGAUCGCGCCUGUCUCUUCACUUGCCAGCAGGCCUCGCAGAACCUGCAGCAGCAGCAGCCCCGCUUUUACAGCGCGCCAGGUCGCAGGGCCGGCUUUUUCUCGCAGUUCUUCGACAACAUGAAAGCGGAGAUGGAUAAGAACAAGGAGAUCAAGGACAAUAUCCGAAAGUUCCGCGAGGAGGCCCAGAAGCUGGAGGAAUCGGACGCCCUGAAGUCGGCGCGACAGAAGUUUAACAUUGUCGAAUCGGAGGCGCAAAAGUCGUCUAGCAUGCUGAAGGAGCAGCUGGGCGCUAUCAAGGAGCGCGUAGGCGAUGUCCUGGAGGACGCCAGCAAAUCGGACCUGGCCAAAAAGGUUACCGAGGAGCUCUCGAAAAAGGCCAAGGGGGUCAGCGAAUCGAUCUCCGACACCAGUGGCAAGCUGGGCCAGACCACCGCUUUCCAAGCCAUCUCUAACACGACGACGACUAUCAAGAAGGAGAUGGAUAGUGCGAGCAUAGAAAAUCGGGUCUAUCGCGCUCCUGCCCAGUUGCGCAAGCGCGUCCAGCUCGACAUGAGCGAUAGCGAUCGCGUUGUGGAGCCCAACACGGAAGCAACUGGAAUGGAGCUGCACAAGGACUCAAAAUUCUACGAGUCGUGGGAGAACUUCAAGAACAAUAAUACCUACGUGAACAAGGUGCUUGACUGGAAGGUUAAAUACGACGAGUCUGAGAACCCUGUGAUUCGUGCCUCCCGCCUGCUCACCGACAAAGUGUCUGACGUCAUGGGCGGACUCUUUUCCAAGACGGAGCUUUCAGAAACGAUGACGGAGCUGGUGAAGAUCGAUCCGAGCUUCGAUCAGAAGGAUUUCCUUCGCGACUGCGAAACGGAUAUCAUUCCAAAUAUUCUGGAGUCGAUUGUCCGGGGAGACUUAGAGAUACUGAAGGACUGGUGCUUUGAGAGCACUUUCAAUAUUAUCGCCAAUCCCAUUAAGGAGGCUAAGAAGGCUGGACUGUACCUGGACUCCAAGAUCCUCGACAUCGAGAAUAUCGAACUGGCAAUGGGCAAGGUUAUGGAGCAGGGUCCCGUACUGAUCAUCACGUUCCAAGCCCAGCAGAUUAUGUGUGUGCGGGACCAGAAGAGUCAGGUCGUCGAGGGCGAUCCGGAGAAGGUGAUGCGGGUACACUACGUCUGGGUGCUGUGCCGCGACCGCAACGAACUCAACCCCAAGGCUGCCUGGCGGUUGAUGGAGCUGUCCGCCAACAGCUCGGAGCAAUUUGUUUAGCGCGCUGCCACGCCUUUCUUUUUUACCGAGCCGUUUAAGUUUCCCUCAUUUUCUCACCCACAAAACAAACGAAAAGAUUACUGGACACUGAGCAUUGACGACGAACUGACCACGAACUCGACCCGCAGGACUCUAUUAAGUGUGUACAAAGGUUUCGCUUUCGAUUGCUUUGAAAGUUUUGUCCGCGACUAGUCGACUGCGUCGUCCGGCAGGGGCUGCUGGUCGGUCCCGUGAAAGAUUCCCCCACGAAUUCCGGGCGCAGCAGACUGCCGGCUCCGGCGCGGCUCAUCCCCCAAUGACGCCCCGGUUGGCCGUUCCUUGCGGCCACGCUCCCCGCCGGUCCACUUCCAGCGAGAACGGAAGCAGGGAUCGGUGCGGGGAUUGGCCGUCGGGAUCGUGGUUCCCCCGCUGGUGUCCUGGCCAAAUCUAUAAUGUUGAAGCUUAAAGUGCAACCGCCGGUGUAGGCGUAUAAGUAGUGACCAUAAGCAAAUUGUUGAGUAUAGUUGAGUUUAGGUAUUUUAAGGCCCCACCCCCUCCAGAUCCCUUCUCUUGUAAAUAUGGAAUUCGCUCAGGGCAGCUUGGGCAUGGUAAAUUGACUGUACACACAGAAUCCAAAGAGUUAUGUACCAUUGAAGCAGCUGGAGAGUUCUUGAGAAAUAAGUGUUACGUUGCCUUAUUUUAAUCACAGGCAUCCAAGUUUAUGGUUGCCCGUUGAAUAGGGCAUCCUUAGGCGCCAUGCUACUAGGUCUAUAAAAUAAAAAUCCAAUACUAUUACACAAUCCAUUUAUUUUGGUGUUUUUAAAACAUGAAAAGCACACAGAAAGCUGAGCAAUAAACAGUGACCAUAAAACAA